GGGCCUAUAGCUCAGCUGGUUAGAGCACACGCCUGAUAAGCGUGAGGUCGGUGGUUCAAGUCCAUUUAGGCCCA
rnacentral:tRNA from 4 species